rnacentral:snRNA from 1 species
GGAUGUGAGGGCAAUCUGGCUGCAACAUCUGUCACCCCACUGAUCACUAGGGUUGAUUUGGCUGAUCUGGCUUGCUAGGCAGGUGUCCCCUUCCUCCCUCAACACUCCCUCCCGAAGCUGUGAGCUCAGUCGAAGAGGACAACCUUCCCCGAUAGAGAAGGACCGGUCUUCAGUCAAGGGUAUACGAGUAGCUGCGCUCUCCUGCUAGAACCUCCAAACAAGUUCUCAAAUACACAAGUCUAAAAUUUGGGAGAAAGUUCUAGAAUGGGGAUAUCUAUUGGUAAGGAAGUAUUCGCCAUAUUGGUGGUAUAUUAGUUAC